AAAUCUAUAAAGACCAUGUGUAAAUCCUUUUUCCCAUUUCUAUAUCUUUCCAUCAAUCUUCGUAAGAGAUAGAUUGCCUCCAUGGUUGAGCGCCCUGGCAUGAACCCGAAUUGGUUGUCCGAAACCCGUGUCUCUUGCCUCAAUCUAUGCUCAAUUACAAACUUUGCUAAAGGAAAGGCCUAUGGUGGAAAAAAGAAAUCAUGUAGAAAAAAUGAAAGAGAUAAGUUUUCAGCCUAACAAAAUAUGCAGGCAGAGAGAGGGCAAGCUAGUGAGAGCAAUACACGAAAUGAGUGGAAGGCAAAAUUUGCAACAAGGGGGAGGAGAUCGACAAAAAAGAGGAAGAGAGAGAUCAGAGCACAGAGGAACAAAAAAGGAAGAAGAACAGGACACAAAGAAGACAAUAAAGAAACACAGACGACAAAGAAAAACAAAGCAAGAAAGCAAGGAGAAACAUAAAGAAAAAGAAAGAAAAAGAAACAACAAAGGGCAGCAAGCAACAACAAACAAUCGAGAGAAGUUCUGAAAACAGAACUAUCCUUGUCACUGCCUUCAACUCCAUGAAUUUCUUGUGGGUGGUCUAAACCACCCCUGAAGUUUCAACCAAGUAUGAGUGAUCUACUCCUCGCUGCUGCCGUCAACUCCAUGAAUUUCUUGUGGGUGGUUUAAACCACCCUUGAAGUUCCAACCAAGUCUAAGUGAUCCGCUCCUUGCCACUGUUGUCAACUCCAAGAAUUUCUUGCGGGUGGUCUAAACCACCCUUAAAGUUCCAGCUAAGUCUAAGUGAUCACUGCACUGUAGCAACCAAACCUCAACACCACCGACUCCUAUCUCUCAAAGACAAAUGUGUCGUAUCAAAACCCAAGUAACCUAAGUCAUUUAAGAGCUCUGCUUCUGAAAAAUCGAAGAAGUCUCACGCUUGAGAUAUGUGAAGAAGAAAGCAAGAUAGGCAAUUGCUUUUAUUCCAACUUCAAGUGUGUUUCUCUUCACAAAGAAGGAAAAAUAUAUACGAUGAGUUUAAAAACUCUAAAGGAAGAAAAGUGCUCUAGAUGCUUUUAUAAAGCUAAAUAUGGCUUGCUUUUCCUGACGCCACAUGAAGGCCUGCUUGGACUUAGAAAUCCAAGUUUACAAGGAGAAGAAACGAGAAGCCUGCAAUAUUCCUAAAUUAAUUGGGAAUUGAUGCUUACGUGGAAACCAAAAGGAAGAAAAUAAGUCAUUUCAAAGACUUUGCUUCAAAAAAGAAACAAGUGGUUAUAUUUAAUUCUUAAUUGGACUUCUCAAAAGUCUGAUGGAUCCCAAACAAAGAAUGGAGAAGGGAAAAAGGUACAGCAAAAGAAGAAAACAAACUUGAUGUGCCAAUUACAUGGGCACUACGAACAUGAUCCCUUUUCAUCAAAAUGUUGUGCAUAAAACAAGAAGCAUGAUGACAAGAAAAAUCCAAGCUAACAUGUUGUCGAGUACAAAUACAAAUGGAUAAAGAGACGACGUCGAUCACUUUAAAUAUCGUAGACGCAAACCAUUUCGAAGCACAAAGCUCGAUGGACUUACUACCUCAAAUUAGUGAAUUCGUGCUACAUCCAAACAAAUGGAUCAAGCUCCCAUUAAAUUCUUGAAGUGGUCAAAUGGCACAAAGCCAUGUUAAAUGGCACAAGGCCGCAACAAGUUUCAAAUGACACGAAGCCACAUUAAAUACUAAAUGGCACAAAGCUGUAUUCUACUCCAAUGGCUUGAAGUCCUUGCCCGCAUGAGCUAAAACUACACAAGGCAUCAAACGCUCCAACGGCUUAAAGUCCUCGCCCACACAAGCUAAAACAAAAUGCAUAAGGCAUCAAACACUCCAACGGCUUAAAGUCCUCGCCCGUACGAGCUAAAACUGCAUAAGGCAUCAAAAGCUCCAAUGGCUCAAAGUCCUCACCCACACGAGCAAAAACUACACAAGGCAUCAAACCCCAACAAAUACAUCAUGACCUACGAGUGACUUGAUCCCUCAACAAGGGUACGUAGGCAAUCUAGGGCUCGACCUAGGUGCAGUUGCAAAAUCAAAUAAACACCUAAAUCGUCAAAUUAUGAUUUAUUCAAAUUAGAAUCAAAGGGUAUUCCUUUCCCAAAAGAAAUGUUGUAAUUAAUAGGCGCGUAACCUAGAAUGGGUCGAACUCAAUUUAAUAAAACCCUCUUAAAAAAAUGAAUGAGGGUGAAAUUGUGUCGAGUGAAUUAUUGGUUUACAUAUUAUGUACUAUUUUUGCUCAACAAAUCCUCAUCACCCCUAGAUUGCGUAUGGUCCCCCAUCGCGGAUAUACCAAGCAGAACCAUAGGCAAAAUCUCAUUGUGCAGGCAGUGAUCACCAAUCGCAGAUAUACCAAGCAUGAUCACCCCUGAAUACAUAUGGUCCCCCGUCGCGAGUAUACCAAUCAGAACUAUAUGUAUAGUCUAAUAACAUAGGCAGUGAUCACCCAUUGCGGAUAUACCAAACAUGAUCACCCCUAACAGUCCUCCAUCACGGAUAUACCAAGCAGGACUGUAUUCUAUAGCUCCAGGUAAUGAUCACCCAUCGCGGAUAUACCAAGCAUGAUCACUCCUAGAAUGCGUAUGGUCCCCCAUCGCGGAUAUACCAAGCAUGACCAUUUAAGUACCACUACUACCUAGUGCAAUCAAUUCAGCACACAAUCUACACAUACCUUGAUCCUUAUGAUUUACAACGUAGUCGCCUACACCAUCAACUUCUCAUGGCCACCAACUUAUAUGUCUCACAAACAUAUAAGUUCUACAUAAUGCUUCUAAUAAGAUUGUAGGAUCACAUUGUCACAACAUUUAUUAGACUUACCAUUCACAUUACUAAAAAGAUAAUUAAACACACAUAUAUCACAAUCAUCAUCAAUACACAAGCCAAAUCAUGUUUAAUAAACAUAAGUCUAUGGCUAAAUAUAUGAAAAUCACAUUUCAAUAGAAAUCAUAUUUAUAAGACCAAUUCAUAUUCAUAAAUGAUAUUAAUAUAAGAAAUUAAGGUAAUAACCAUAUCACAUAUAUUCAAGUCACACUUUAACCAAUAUAGGCCCACUAGACUUCACUUAGCCUUCCAUAGUACUAAUUUUAUUAUUUAGAAUGGUUCGAGACAUGUGGACCAAAAGUCAACUCUUGGUCAACGGUAGGAUCCAUAACUCUACGUAAUUCAAUCUGGAAGAUCCGCACAUCAGAUUUUGGAUCUGUAACUUCCUAAGAUCCACAUUAUGCUUCUAAAACAACAUACUAAAAUUUCAUUACGAUCCAACAGUCGGAUCUUCACCAAUCACGAAUUCAAGAGGCGGUCAAUGUUUUAUUUUACAAACUUACAAAUCCUAUUCGGGAAGAUCCGUACGUAGGAUUCCCGAUCCGUAAGUUCCUAGUCUCAUCAAAUAUUACGUACUAUAACGUAUUAAGGUUUGGUGACAAUCCAAUGAUUGUCGAUUCAUUUAAUGUCCAAGUGGCAAUCACUAUCGAAACUAUAGUCAUACAACGAGAUUUCGUCAAUGGAUUCUCGGCCCACGCGCCGCCAUAUGCGCCGCCCCAUCUCGCUGGAAAGUUCAAUUAUUUCAAAAAAUUACCAAAUUUUAGAGGCAAGUAUUUCUCAGUGAGGGGAGUAAUUUGCAUACCUGGGCCGAAGUCCAAUCCGGCCGAGAAACGCCUGAUUUUUCCCACGAGCGGUCGGAACCCUAGUUUUGGGUGUGCUUCAAUUCGACUUCCAUGCGAGCUCUGACGCCUCCACCACGACUUGGCCUUUGUUCGUGGGGUUGAGGGGAACCAUUUGGUGGUGGUGGUGGUUAGGACCUUCGGAAUCAGCCAAUUUUACUGGAACACCAUCGGAACCCACGAGUUAUGUUCUCCUCGCCUAUGUGCUCGUAGGGUCGGGCCCAAUAAAAAAACAUUAACAGGUGACCCCCGAAGGCUUACGGAUUUAAUAAUUAUUUUAAAAAAAUCAAACUUUGUAAUUAAGUAACCAAAAUUUAAAAUUAAUUUAAAUUCGCAAAAAUACUAUAAAAUCCCGUGAAUACGAAAUACGUAGAUUACAAUAGUGAAAUCCAAGAACAGGAUUUCAUUGAUGAAAAUGCCCUAGAGGCAAGAUUAUUGACUUUCGUUGACCAAUGUAUAGUGAGACGUACAAAAUAUUAUUUUAGUGUAUUCUUGAAGUACUCAGCGGUGCAAACGCGUAGACGCAAACAAAAUUGAAAUCAAAACUACGAUGGAGGUUUUACCAUACUACAAAUCUAAAAAGUACUUUUAUAAAGGUUACAAUUUAUUAUUUUCUCAUAAUUAUUGUAUUAUUAUUU
rnacentral:lncRNA from 1 species